UACGGAGGGGGCUAGCGUUGUUCGGAAUUACUGGGCGUAAAGCGCACGUAGGCGGCUUUGUAAGUUAGAGGUGAAAGCCCGGGGCUCAACUCCGGAAUUGCCUUUAAGACUGCAUCGCUAGAAUUGUGGAGAGGUAAGUGGAAUUCCGAGUGUAGAGGUGAAAUUCGUAGAUAUUCGGAAGAACACCAGUUGCGAAGGCGGCUGACUGGACACAUAUUGACGCUGAGGCUCGAAAGCAUGGGGAGCAAACAGG
rnacentral:rRNA from 1 species